GAAUGAAGGGGUUAAGUAUGAAAAAUUGUAUAAGUAUAAAAUAUUAGAUAAUACAUAUUUCUUACAAAUACAUGUAUAUAAAUACAAGACAAGUUUAUUUACACAUGUACAGAGCAGUUGUAAAUUGGAACAACUUUAAAGUUGAAUUAUUACACAACUUUUAAAAUUAAAAACAAUUAUGAGAAUCUGCGGUUUAGCGUUAGCAUGAACACACACACACUUAUCAAAGUGAAUGUAUUUGAUUAUUUUAGUUUACAUCCGGUGAUCUGGUUUGUGGGCAGUUUGCAUAUGCAAGAUAUUAAUGGACAAGACUUUGACGAUCUGUGAGAUUGUGUUAACAGAGGACAAGAGGUGAGAAGUGGGCGUGUCCUGUUACUAUAAAACACUGCUCGAUACUGGCCACACCCACUAAGGACACGCCCAAUCGCAGUAAAGCGUGAGUGGCCACGCCCACUCUUGACAGUUAACACUGAUUGAGAUUGAACAGGAGAUUGAAAGCAUGUGUUUUAAACAGCCUGGUGAAAUUAAACAUACACUGAUAAAAAUAUAGCACUGGGCUUGACUCUAUUGAUCAGGAAUUGUUUGGAUGGUAAAAAGUGGAUUGCAUAGGACUGUGGAGACAUGGCUACCUCUUUUUCUAUUAUCGACGCGCAUCUUGGGCCGAAAAGGCAACAAGAUGGUGCUAAAAGGCAAGGGAGGCGCUGGAGUGUUCACCUCUUCUGAGAGACUGACAGUGUGUGUGUGUUCGUGAUGAAAACCCGCGGGAAAAGGUGAUGGUUUGAUAGGGACCUGUAAACAAAGCGCUUCACCGUCUGCUGUACCGAACAGCAAAACCACUGACUCUCUCUGUCUGUGUAAAUGAAGUCUUAAAGAAGUGGUUCAACCAAAAAUGAACAUUUGCUGAAAAUCUCCUCACCCUCAGGCCUUUCGUAGAUGAGUGUUUCUUUUACAUAUUUGGAGAAAUUCAGCAUUACAUCACUUUCUCAGCAAUGGAUGCUCUGCAGUGAAUGGGUGCCGUCAGAAUGAGAGUCCAAACAGCUGAUAAAAACAUCACAAUAAUCCACAAGUAAUCUACACCACUCCAGUCCAUCAGUUAACGUCUUGAGAAGAAACUUGACUUUAAGCUGCUGGUUUAAAUGGUCACUUCUUGACAAAAUAUGAGUUUAUCCAUAAUAUUUUUUUUUUAAAACAGUGGUUGCCAACCCAUCAAUCUGCUCUGCGCUCCGAAGUCCCGAUCUGAAUCAAAUGAUGCAUGAACCCGCUCCGAAGUCCCGAUCUGAAUCAAAUGAUGCAUGAACCCGCUCCGAAGUUCCGAUCUGAAUCAAAUGAUGCUAUGAACCCGCUCCGUAAGUUCCGAUCUGAAUCAAUUGAG
rnacentral:lncRNA from 1 species